rnacentral:rRNA from 2 species
GAGUUUGAUCGUGGCUCAGAUUGAACGCUGGCGGCAGGCCUAACACAUGCAAGUCGAGCGGAUGAGAGGAGCUUGCUCCUUGAUUCAGCGGCGGACGGGUGAGUAAUGCCUAGGAAUCUGCCUGAUAGUGGGGGACAACGUUUCGAAAGGAACGCUAAUACCGCAUACGUCCUACGGGAGAAAGCAGGGGACCUUCGGGCCUUGCGCUAUCAGAUGAGCCUAGGUCGGAUUAGCUAGUAGGUGAGGUAAUGGCUCACCUAGGCGACGAUCCGUAACUGGUCUGAGAGGAUGAUCAGUCACACUGGAACUGAGACACGGUCCAGACUCCUACGGGAGGCAGCAGUGGGGAAUAUUGGACAAUGGGCGAAAGCCUGAUCCAGCCAUGCCGCGUGUGUGAAGAAGGUCUUCGGAUUGUAAAGCACUUUAAGUUGGGAGGAAGGGCUGCAAGUUAAUACCUUGUAGUUUUGACGUUACCAACAGAAUAAGCACCGGCUAACUUCGUGCCA